rnacentral:lncRNA from 1 species
GGGCCCUAGGGGGAGGAACUGAAUUCUUUAUGAAAGAGGGAAGACUUGAGCUGACCUUGAGAUGCAUUUUAAAUCUUUCAUUUUUUAAGAAAAUAUAAUCGCAUGGCAGAAAACUUUCAAAGUUCAGGGAAAAAAUCACUUCAUUGCAGCAGUCAUUCUCUACAUUCUUGGCAGGUUUAUUCAUAAUAGCAUGAAAGGAAAACAGCCCAAAGGUCCAUGCGCAGCAAAAGGAAUAAACAGAUUAACAGUACAGUCACACGAUGGAAUACUAACUCCAUAGCGCUAAAAAGGAAUGAGUGGAUACAUACAGCAGCAGGGAUUAAUCUCAAAUACAUUAGGCUGAGUAAAAAAAGCCAGACCCAAAAAGUGCAUUUAUAGGAAGUUCAAGAACAGGCAAAACUAAUCUAUGGGGAUAGGAAGCAAAAUCAUAGGUGCUGCUGAUGUAGGAGACCCCCUGAUAGACAGGGGCGCAGGGAACUUCCUAGAAUUGACGCUGCAUUCCAACUGGGGCAUUGGGCAGGUAGUGUAUACUGUUGUCAACACUCAUACUGUGUGCACUUACGAGCUGAGCAUUUUACAGUAUGUAGUGUGUAAUUAUAUCACCCCAAAUAAUUGAAUCUAUUUUCCUAAAACCUAUUACUCAGUGAUACUAGUGUUUCACUUGGAAUCUAUGCAUUUUUUUCCUACAAUUGAAUGUUGAUUAUUCCAACCUGUACUGCAGACUUGGGGGAGCCAAAGACAAGCCUCUGCUUGAUCUUGCUUUCAAGGUCUCUGAAUUGAGAUCAGACCUUCACGAUUCAUUCUGUGUGUUCACACAAGGGUAGGGAAAGAGCUCUGGAUGGAAAGAGAUAUUCAAGUUCAUGUUACUCUGCAGAGCUCCUGAAUCAAUGACUUGAGACUAGGCAAGAGAAAAAGAGUCAAUAAUCUAAUAGGUUUACUUUUCUUCAAUAAAUGGAGGCCACUCUUGAUAAUAAUGACCUCAACUCUAUCCUUGUUAUCCAGGAAUAAAGUGCAUCAGCUAUACUCUUGAGUAAAUGAAACCAGUCUAUUGAAAAUAAUGAAUAGAGGCUAGCAUUUAUUUACUUAUUACUGAGCCAAGCAAUUCACAUGCAUUAAUCAUUUAAUCCUCACAAUACUCUAUGAGGCAGACAAUAUGAAGACUGUUUUUCCGAGCACAGAAAGGUUAAGUAACUUGCCUAAAGUUGCACAGCUAGUGAGAGGAGAAGCCAGAAUCAAUGCAUUACUUGGAAUGAGGACCAGGAAAUGACAAUGGAAUAUAGAGGGAAGCGGACAAAUGGAAAAUAAAUAAUUAAAACCUCUAUUGGACAGGCAAUUCAAAGAGACAUUGGGUAUUAUCAAGCAAAUACUCAUUUGCAGACAAUGAAACUGAGGCCCAUGAAGGUUACGUGACUUCCCAAGUCAUUCAUCUAAUUAGGAGAGAGCUGGGACAAGAAGCCAUAUUUUAAAAAUCCCAGCUCAGGGCCUUUCUACUACAUCAAAAAAAAAAAAAAAAAAAAAUUAAUUGAUUUUUUUUUCACAUAAUGUCCAAUUUUGAAAUCUAUCCCUGAGGGGAUUGUUGGUUAGAUAUUCAUAGUAUUAUAAAAUUCAAGUCUUGGAAACGGCCUGGAAAGAUCUUAUGGCCGUUGGCUCCAAAUUCAAGCAGCAUCACACUUAAACCAUCCCAUCCAGAUGAGAAUCUUUCCCAGUUUUUAAAGUCUUCCAGAUGUAUCUCAACUGGAUUUUUAAAUCUGUUUUCCAGAGCAAAACAGCAGAAUUUGGAAAAUAACCUAAUAUGCAUAAACCAUGAAUGGCAUCCCCGGAGAGACACAAGCCCAAACCCUGAGCGUCCAGAGCAUUUUAAUUCGGGAUGCAGUGCUUUAAAGCCCUAGGGAUUAUUUUCAGCAGAAUUGACUCUAUGAAUAUGAAUUAUUCUUCAUGUCAGCCUUUUUUUUUUUUUUUCUGAGAAGGAAAUCUGAUACAAGAUUGAAUAGGAGAACAAGUAGCAGAAUUUAGGGCAAUAUAAAAGGGCCCUGGAAGGCAGGUGAACACAUUUUUCUUCCUUGCCCAGAAAAAUGUCAAUAGGCAUUUUACAGCUUCUCCUUUUCUUUCCUUUGCAUUCUGUCCUCACUGAAAAUGCCCAGUUCACAGCCUGAUAUUCUUUGAGCGUUUUUCCAUUCAAGUCCCAGUUAAGUGAUCACUCCUGGGUCUCCAACUGGUUUCGGUCCCGAAGCUGUGUUUGCAGAGAUGGAAGGAUGCUUGUUGAAGUCGGGACGUCCAAGGGCCACAUAAGUGAGGAUCUAAUUGCCGUGCCUUGUCUCAAGGAGUCUUGAGUUCAUGAUGUCUUAUAUUUCUUCAUUACUUCCCAAAGCAAAACUUUGUACAUCUAGACAUAUACGACAAGUUUGUUUUUUAUGAUUGUUUUAGUUUGUCUUGGCAAUUGACGUGGGAAGUUGUUAAUGCAGUAGACAGAUGAAAUAAAGACUUGGAGAUUAGAUGAACUGCUCCAAUCAGAGCCUGGAUGCAAUGCCCUGUUGCCCUCUCUUUCAGAUCUAUCCAAAGUUAACUUGACUCCAUCGACUGGCCCUUAAUUUCUGCAGUUCUCUCAGUUCUGGGAAUAACCUUAUGAUUGUUCUUCAGGUGGAGACCCUAGAAAACCUCCAGAGUUUGCUUUGAUCCUCAUACUCCACCUCCCAAGGAGGAAUAAAUUUGGAAGUGUAUAAUAAAUCAAAGAUAAAUUUGGAAGCACAUAUGAAAAAGCUUUUAUGGGACUUCUGCUUUUGAGUAAGAUGGAGAUAUUGGUGACAGACUAAUCCUGAAAAUCAGAACAACUAGAUGAAACAGAUAAAAUCCAAAAAUUAUCUGUUUUAAAGGUACCAAGGAGCUGUUGAAGCAAUGUAGGUAGAGAGGCUGAAAGACAGCAAAGGGGAGAAUCUGCACCAGCCUUUUAUCCUGGGGCACUGUGGGUUCACUGUGAGUUCUGGGUGAGAACGAGAAGCUUGGCAUCUAAACUCUACCCAAACCCCUUCUCAGCGGGCAGGAUGCAGAGGUUUCAGCAGAGCUCAGGGAAGGUAGCCAGGAUGUGCAACACAAUAGGGCCUUCAACACAGGACCAGCUUCCCCCUCAAGACAUUUGCUGAAUUCUGAAGCUGCAAGGGAAGGACAUAGGAAAGCUAAGCUGAGUACAUCAGAAGAGCUGGGUCGAGUUUUCUGCAGUGUGACGAUGCCUUGGAGACCCAGGUUAGAGUUCAGUUCCCAGGAGAGGCAGUGUUCCUGGGAUGCACCAGCCUCAGUCAAAGCCCUGGAAGUUCAUGUUGCCGGAAGAGGAUCAGCCCAGAGGAGGCUUACCCAAACUGCAAAUUAAAGGCAAAAUAGUGAAAGCUUUCCCUCAAGUGGUGGAAAGAAAUAAGGGUGCCUACUGUUUACCACUUCUAACCUACAUGGUCCUGGAAGUCCAGGCCAGGGCAAUAAUGCAAGCCAACGUAUAAAGGGCAGAAUCAUUGGAAAGGAAGAAAAAACUUACUAGACACAGAUGAACUGUCUCUAUAUGAAGAAAAAUCCAAAAGAAUCUGCAAACAACUUAAAUUUAAUGUCUCUUUACGCAGUCUCCGCAUGUAAGGUCAGUAUAAAAAAAUCACCUCUAUAUCUAUAGACCUGCAACACAGAGAAAAUAAAAUCUUGCAAUUGCAGGAUUUGCAACAGCAUCGAGGAAUAUUAAAUACUUAAAUAGAAAUUUUAAAGAGGUAUAUGAGAUUUGUGUUCUAAAGCCACAAAGCAUCUCUGAGAGGGAACUCAAAGGGAGAUCUAAAUAAGUAGAUAUAGUAAAUAAGUAGAUCUAGGACAUUUGUCAAUCAGAAGACUCACUUGUAAACAUGUCGACUCUUCCUACAUGUAUCCCCAGCCUCAUGCAAUCCCAGGAGAUUACAUGUGUGUGUAUUUGUAAAUUGACUCAAGUGAUUACAAGAUUUAUAUGAAAAUGCAGUGAGCCAAAAAUAGCCAGGAAAUCUUAAGGAAUAAGAGCGGAGAGCAGAGGAAGGCUUCAUGGGCCGGGUAGGGGGGCGGGGAGCCUUGAGCUAAGCCGUUGGGUGCAUGGGUGGUAAGUGGAAUUUUGUUAGGGACUAGAACCAUAACAAGUUUGUUGGGGUAACCCUAACACCUAUCCUAAUGCCUGCCUGAUGCCUAACAAAUAUUCAAUAAAUAUUGGUUAAAUGUACAUAUGAAUGAAUGGACAGAUGCUUGAGAUAAGAGUAUGUCAGGUUAAAAGGACAGUAGAAGCAACAGUAAAGAAACACGAAACUAUCUUACAGUGAGGCAUCAAAUGUGUCCUAAGUGCGUAUGUGAGCUGCAGAAGAAAGGGAGGCUAGAAUAUUCAGACAGGGCAGUGUUGUGCAGAGGUCUGAAGUAGGCUUGUAGCAUUUGGACCUUACUCUUUAGGCAUCUAACAUUUUGGAACAAUGUAAAAUGAGUGAUAGGUUGGGAGAUGAAUUGGGCCAGUGACAGGGGAGCCACAUGACACCCACCCAGUCACUUCCCUGAAGGACACCCUCUUUGCUUUCUAUAUCCAGCACCAGCAAUAAAAUUGGAAUUCUUUGCUAAGGUCAUUGUUCAUAUAUUUAAUAUAGAAAUCUCCCCAAAUGUUAAAAGCUGACAGACACUUAAUUUAAAAGCCUAAGUACUCUCUGUCUGAGCCCUGACUAUGCCAAAAGCAAAGCUUUUUGUGCUAUCAAGAAUUUGAUGGGAUUUCCUUUUUGCAUUUCCUUUUCAAAAACCAUUAGAACAGCCAGCACCAUGCUCCUCUGGAGACCCUUACAUUCUACCUUCAUGAAUUUUCUUGGUUAGGAACAGAGUGCAUGAACUCUUUGGGUCUCUCUGUUAGGAUGGGUUUCAGCUAACUGUACUUUAGUACAGUUAGUACCAGUGCUUUAAUACACACAAGCUUACACUCACAACGAAGUCCAGAGCAAAGCAGUCUGUGAUGAUUAUGGCAGUUUCAUGCUGUCAUCUCCUAUGAGACAGCCCUGCCAGAAGGGCUGCUCACAUCCUGAUGGCUAGAACUGGUUACAUGGCUGUGCUGGUUGCAACAAAAGCUGGAAAAUGAAGUGUAUUGAUACUCCAAAAGAAGCAGAGUUUCGGUAAUACAGAAGAAUAUUGGUGGACAUUGAAUAGGUCACCAGCAGUCAUUGCUACAUGAUCCAGUCUUCCUUUCUAAAACAAGAACAAUCUUGUAGAAAGCGGGAACUUUGAGACUUUCUUAGCUGAGAAAUUUGUUGUUAUUGUUGCUUUACAAUCUCUCCUCCUCUCCUAAGAAGUUGUCCAAGGAAACUGGAGGUUCUUUGUUUCUUAAGCUGGUUGAAGAUAUAGUUUGCAAACCUGAACAGAACAAAAUAACUAUUCACCAGAAGAAGAAGAAAAAAAAAAGGCAGCGAAUAUGUGAUGUUUUCACAGAUCAUGAAAUUGAAGGGUACAAAAAAAGAACUUCUAUUUUUCUGUGACUAAAUGUCGAUUUCAAGUUCUCAUACCUCCUGGAGUUAAAAAAUAAGAUCCAGUCAAUUUCAGUGAAAACCUGUUACUUCUGCUUUUCAGUGAUUUGGGCUUUACACUCACAGAUCUGAGAGUCUCUCUUGCCCCCCUGGUAACACAUUUCAGAGCUGGAGAAAGAGAGGGAGAGGAUGGGGGUUUGGACAUGGCCCAUGUUCAUCUUCCCAGUAUUCUCUGACAGUCAGCAUUCUCCCUGCUGACUUGGGCGGAUAUGCCAUGUCCAGUUGGGUCCUCACCAUUCCUGGUGGCCUCACCUGAGCUGAAACAGCAUCUCUCCUGGGCCCCAGGUGAAGGGUCCAUCAUGCCUUGUGCUCUGGCCUCCUGCUGCCCCAUGUGGAGUGGUCCUUUGCACCUGCCGGCUCAGUCUCUCUCAGCCACCCUGUGUCUCCUUGAGGCAGGGGGAGACUCAGGCGCAGUCAUAACCCUCUGAAGUGCUAGGACUCCAUGCUGCCAUGUAAAAUACACAUUUCUCUAUUUUUUGGGCUCCCAAAAUAGAACUAAGGUUGGGAUGGGGUAGUAUCUGUACUAUGUUUCAAACACACACACAUACACACACACACACACACACACACACACACACACACACACACGGAGGAAGUUUCUCCCUCAAAGACCCAAAACUAGCAAGAGGUACCAGUGAUGGGUCUUUUGAAGGGGAUGUCAUCUGCCCGUCACUUGCAUUGGGGUCAAGCGGCAUUGCAGAAGAAAAUAAGGCAUUUAGGUUUUAGGUCAGGUGUGAGUUGAGGUUUUAUGUUUUUGAGAACACAGGCCAAGGGAGUAGAAGGAGGAAUGGAGGGUGGAAUGUUCCCAUAGUGAAGGAAGCAAGCCUAGAGAGAAGAGAGAGUAGAGAAAUGGAGGGAAGGGAUUCAGGGGUUCUUACCUUCCAGAAAAGUGGGAAAAGGGGUUUGGGUGCAGAGAUAAGAAGUCAGGGCAUGGAAAUAAGGGAUGGGGCACAGAAAUAAGAGGUCAGGGCAUGGAAAUAAGGGAUUGGGGUGCAGAGAUAUGAGGUUGGGGUACUUGCCCAUCCUCUAGAAAAGCAGGACUUGCCACUAAGAGUGAAGGAGAAGGGGUUGAGGAGUACUUGCCCCUCUCCCAGAAAAGCAGAGAAGGG